CGGAAGGUCCGGGCGUUAUCCGGAUUUAUUGGGUUUAAAGGGAGCGUAGGCCGGAGAUUAAGCGUGUUGUGAAAUUGUAGACGCUCAACGUCUUGCACUGCAGCGCGAACUGGUUUCCUUGAGUACGCACAAAGUGGGCGGAAUUCGUGGUGUAGCGGUGAAAUGCUUAGAUAUCACGAAGAACUCCGAUUGCGAAGGCAGCUCACUGGAGCGCAACUGACGCUGAAGCUCGAAAGUGCGGGUAUCGA
rnacentral:rRNA from 1 species